GAAGGGCAGCACCUCAAACUCCCUUGACAACGAGAUGAGACAACUCAAGGAACAUGGUCAUGUUCUUGGCAGGAUUCAUCCUGGUUUCUAUGACAUCAGGAAGAGAUUGAAGGAAGAUCUUGAGAGAAUGUUGGCUGAGAGACGAUGAGGAGUCAAGAAGAUGACGGCCGGUAAACGUCUCAAGUCAAGUGAUGGUACAUGUACACAAUAAACAAUGAAGAUGACACCCAGAUGAAGAAAAGAGCGACUACAAAGAACUACAAAGAGUGAGACACCAAAUCCUGUCACACAAGGCCAAUGGAUGGUUGGUGUAUUUUCACUGAGUUUGAAUGUGGAAGGAUUCUUAGGAAUCUGGUGCCAGAUAUAAAGCGGAAGCCACAAUGAAGCCGGGGUUUUAUAAAUACCACAAAAAGUUGGUAAGUAUUGGAUAGAUAUAUGGCGAACCAUGUACUGGGUGAGGGAGGGGUGUUGGUGUGAGGAGGCGGGGGUCACUACAUUCAAACUCCUCAACACCAACUAAACUCCCCUCUCCUUUCAAAUUUACCAUUUAAUUCAGAUUCCAGUCAUUGUACAAAUUAUCCCAAUCAAAUCAAAUGUAACUGCCCUUAUAAAAAUCCACUAUAGUUUCACCAUUAUAAAUUUGUAGUUUUACUAUAGUUCAUCAAAGUUUACUAUGAUAAGUAUAAUAUAUGUAAAGUUUUGUGUAAGGUAAAGUUACUUUAAUUUUACUACAGUAAAUACUGCAGUAUUAUUGUACGAAAUUUAAAGUUAACUUGUAGUAAAUAUAUAGUGCCGUAUUAAAGUUUACUGCAGUUUCACAUCAUACAAAAACUAUAGAAACACUAAAGUACAACUACAGUUUUAACACUCUACGUUCUACACAUUUACUGUAGUUUCACUACAUCCAAAGACUGUAGUAUUACUUUUUUUAAACGCUCAAGUAGGACUACAGUUUGAACACAAUACUUUCCGCAUAUUAACUGUAGUUUCACUACUUCCGAAAACUGUAGUAUUACUUUUUAAAAACUGAAGUUAAGACUACAGUUUUAACACAAUACUUUCUGCAUAUUAACUGUAGUUUCACUACUUCCGAAAACUGUAGUAUUACUUUUUAAAAACUGAAGUUAGGACUAUAGUUUUAACACAAUACUUUCCGCAUAUUAACUGUAGUUUCACUACUUCCGAAAACUGUAGUAUUACUUUUUAAAAACUGAAGUUAAGACUACAGUUUUAACACAAUACUUUCUGCAUAUUAACUGUAGUUUCACUACUUCCGAAAACUGUAGUAUUACUUUUUAAAAACUGAAGUUAGGACUAUAGUUUUAACACAAUACUUUCCGCAUAUUAACUGUAGUUUCACUACUUCCGAAAACUGUAGUAUUACUUUUUAAAAACUGAAGUUACAUGUAGGACUAUAGUUUUAACACAAUACUUUCUGCAUAUUAACAGUAGUUUCACUACAUCCAAAAAUUGUAGUUUUACUUUUUAAAAACUGAAGUUAGGACUAUAGUUUUAACACAAUACAUAUUAGUCUUGUAACAGUUUUUACGUGUAUUUGUACUUUACAUGUAAUUUCUUCAAAUCUAACGUGUACUCAUUUUUCAGCAGAAAAAUAAGCCAUACGAAUUACUUAAGUACAUGUAGUCAUGUUUCCAAAAAUGAUAUGCUUUGUGGAGACUUGACAAAACUGCAUGAUCUCCAUACAUCGAACUGCAUGUGAGGGACACCAAAUAAUUAGGUAUCAGUAAUCUACCACUCACAUUCUGAACCAUGCAACAUUGAAUAUGCUACCGCACCAUAUCUGCACAACACAGUUUAUUGAGCUAAACAGGAAACAGUCCACAUGUUACAUCAUCAAGAGAAUUAUGUUACAUGCCUAGCCUAACACACACACAGCAUGCAUAGUGUAGCAUGGGCAAGUCACAUUACGCAAUGACCUUGCAUACCAGAUAAACGGUCAGUGUGGAAAAUUUGAAAACUGCAUUCAGUUGCAACAGUGCUGCAGUGCUUUGCAAGAGGCCAGAAAAGUUGAAUUAAACUGGGUCAAAAUCAUGGAUAUAGUUGCAUGACAUGUGCAUGCCUGAUGUGGACAUAAGUAACUGUUCAUGUGCACACGCAUCCUGUACAUGGUUAGCAUGUAGAAAUACACUGGAUGGAUGAUCGGUGGACAUGUUGGAGCUUAAGAGUUACAUAGACAUGAUGAUGCCUGGCAUGAUAUGCCUGGACCAUGGAGAAAUGCCUGGACUCUUGUCUCACGGAGUCACGCGUCACAAUCACAAGCUGUUGUAUGCGAUACAUCGUACAGCAUUAGCAGCAAGAACUUAUUCCCCAAUCCCUGACAAAAGUUUGGUCAUGUUGGUGAUGUGUAAAAACAUGUAUUAUAAACCACAGCAAUCCAGGUAUUCCAUUCAGCCAUUCAUACUGUACAUGAGUUUGUUACUCUGUUAAUUUCACAACAAGAUUUCACUGCAUCCUACUUUUGCAAAUGCAAGAACAAACUUACCAAAGAAAGUUUAGCAAUAAAUUAUAUCCAAUUUCAGGGCAAGCUGAAAAACAUGUAUAUAAUAUAUGCUGGAAGUACAUUUUCAUAAUUUUACCUUUUAAAGGGCAUUGCAGAUGAUAUGCGUAUUACUUCAAUAACAUGUAAGCUGUGGGCAGUUUGUUUUGGUUUAAAGUUUCACAGUCACAACCCUUAAAUUCAAACUUUGAAAACUAUUCUUGUUGAUAGAUGGCACAUUUUCAUUAUAAAAGACACAUUGAACAGACAAAUGUGCUUUUUGUGGCAAACAUUGUCACAAUAAAACCGGGGCUUCGUUGUGUUUAAAGACUGCACCAUCCCCUUUGUAAUAACCCAAACUUAAGUGUAUUCAGCUGUAUUUUUUCAGCUGUUUAUUUUCCUGUUCAUUACUUUUUAAGACCGUAAUAUUUUUAAGGUUAAAAUGUUUACUGUUAUCAACUCGAUAUACAUGUA
rnacentral:lncRNA from 1 species